UACGUAGGGCGCAAGCGUUGUCCGGAAUUAUUGGGCGUAAAGAGCUCGUAGGCGGCCUGUUGCGUCCGCUGUGAAAUCCCGGGGCUUAACCCCGGGCGUGCAGUGGAUACGGGCAGGCUGGAGGCAGGCAGGGGAGAACGGAAUUCCCGGUGUAGCGGUGAAAUGCGCAGAUAUCGGGAGGAACACCGGUGGCGAAGGCGGGUCUCUGGGCCGUUACUGACGCUGAGGAGCGAAAGCGUGGGGAGCGAACAGG
rnacentral:rRNA from 1 species